GACGUAGGGUGCGAGCGUUGUCCGGAUUUAUUGGGCGUAAAGAGCUCGUAGGCGGCUCGUCGCGUCGACCGUGAAAACCCGGGGCUCAACUCCGGGCCUGCAGUCGAUACGGGCUGGCUUGAGUGCGGUAGGGGAGACUGGAAUUCCUGGUGUAGCGGUGAAAUGCGCAGAUAUCAGGAGGAACACCUGCGGCGAAGGCGGGUAGCUGGGCCGACACUGACGCUGAGGCGCGAAAGCCAGGGGAGCGAACGGG
rnacentral:rRNA from 1 species